GACGUAGGGUGCGAGCGUUGUCCGGAUUUAUUGGGCGUAAAGAGCUCGUAGGCGGCUUGUCGCGUCGACCGUGAAAACUUGGGGCUCAACCCCAAGCCUGCGGUCGAUACGGGCAGGCUAGAGUUCGGUAGGGGAGACUGGAAUUCCUGGUGUAGCGGUGAAAUGCGCAGAUAUCAGGAGGAACACCGGUGGCGAAGGCGGGUCUCUGGGCCGAUACUGACGCUGAGGAGCGAAAGCGUGGGGAGCGAACAGG
rnacentral:rRNA from 2 species